rnacentral:lncRNA from 1 species
AAUCUUAGAUUCACAUCAGCUGGACCAUGUCCUUUUGUAUGUUAACACCUUACUUAUGUUCAUGCAGGAUUUCUGGGUCUUCUGCAUUACUACACUGUUGUAUGGACUACCUAGCACCCAUUUUCAUGACAUACUAAAAGUACUUGUGGCUUGCUGGUAUUCUUCCCUAUCAGUUAAAUAGGAAACAGAGCACAAGUUUUCUUUGCUCUAAGACAGUUCCUGCUUGGUAGUCAACUACUGCAGUGUCCUUUGAUUCUCAAAUCAUCUGAGUUUGGAAUGUUGCGAUUUCAUUUGGAGAAAGCAGCAACUGCAUCUGUUCAUUUGGAGUACACAUACUGGGCGCUGGUGAAAUAUGAAAGCUAGUGGCUUAUCAAAGCCCCACUGGACAGUAAUGCAGUAUUCCAAGUACCAUAGUUCUGAUUUUUCCAGUCACUGUCCUGAUAUCUUCUCUGGGAAUUAUGAUUGCAUAUUGCAGAUAGAGAACAAAUAUUCUUCAAUGCAAGUAACAUAUUUUGAAUUCUUUAAACAGACUUACUGCAUAAGUUCUAUCUAAUUUAAAAUAUCUGUAAAUAGAUUAUCUGCAUUUUUAUUCGAGUUCUGUGUGAGGUGUAUUAUAUUUAUUUUAUAAAAUUUAAUAAAAAU